rnacentral:rRNA from 1 species
UUGAAAGGGAAACGAUUGAAGUCAGUCGUACCGACGAGAAAUCAACUUAUCGUGUGCGAACUUGUGGGCGUGCGUGAGUUUCGGCCUCGCUGUUUGCAUGUUUGUGCGUUUUGGGUGUACUUUUUCGUAUGGUAGGCCAACGUCAGUUUCGAUUAUCAUAAAAUGACCGGCGGAAUGUAGCUUCGAUUUCGGUUGAAGUGUUAUAGCCUCUGGUAGAUGUGGUGAUUGAGACUGAGGAUUGCAACGAAUACCCUUUGGGCUAUCCGUCUGGCCUCUGAAAGUUGCUCAGGUGCCGAAAGCGUGCUUACGGUCAUCUAAGAUAACGUUCAACAGGUUAGAACGUGACUACAUUCGUUAAGGAUGUUGACGUA